UACGGAGGUGGCUAGCGGUGUUCGGAAUUACUGGGCGUAAAGCGCGCGUAGGCGGACCUGCAAGUCGGGGGUGAAAGCCCGAGGCUCAACCUCGGAACUGCCUUCGAUACUGCGGGUCUCGAGUCCGAGAGAGGUGAGUGGAAUUCCUAGUGUAGAGGUGAAAUUCGUAGAUAUUAGGAAGAACACCAGUGGCGAAGGCGGCGCACUGGCUCGGUACUGACGCUGAGGCGCGAAAGCGUGGGGAGCAAACAGG
rnacentral:rRNA from 1 species